CGGCUGAACCAGCAACUUGGAAGAAGGUAUAGCAAUAGCUAAUUGUAUUAGCAAAUAGUUUUUACAAUAUCGAUUUAAUCGACUAAAAUUCUAGGUAGAUUUAUGAUGAUGACAUUAUCUAUCUAUGUGUCUUGACCAAAUUUCGUGCCAGCAGUCGCGGUAAGACGUAAGAGACUAGUGUUAUUCAUCUUUAAUAGGUUUAAAGCGUACCUAGACGGUAAUUAAAGCCUAUAUCAGGAACUUGUUUACUAGAGUUAAAUGUAAGGGUGUAUUAAAGUACUGUUGAGUGUAGAGAUGAAAUUCGUUGAUACCAAAUAAUUGGCACAGGUAUAGGCGAAAGCAUCACUUUAUGUAAUAACUGACGUUGACGGACGAAGGCUUUGUGUCGCGAACAGGAUUAGAUACCCCAGUAGUCUUAGCAGAAAACUAUGAGUGUCAUAGGUUAGAUUUUAUUUGGUCUAUAAAUGAAAGUGUAAGCACUCCACCUCAAGAGUAAUUUGGCAACAUUGGAACUGAAAUCAUUAGACCGUUUCUGAAACCAGUAGUGAAGUAUGUUGUUUAAUUUGAUAAUCCGCAAAGAACCUUACCACAAUUUGAAUAUAAAUGAUUUAUUUUUACAAGCGUUGCACGGCUGUCUUCAGUUAAUGUCGUGAGAUAUUGGUUUAUUCCAUUAAAUUAACGUAAACCCGUACUUUAUUUUUAUAUAAAGUUGUUCAUUCGCUAUAAUGGAUGUGAUAACAGGGACUAAGACA
rnacentral:rRNA from 1 species